GGGAGUGGGUGAGGUUUGGAUCCACUUUGGGAGGGAGGAUUUAAAGAACAAUCUGGAGCAUUUGGAGCAUUGUUUGGUGAGUAGAUGGGGAGAUUCUACAUAUUUUUUUUUUUUUGAUAAAUAGAUGGGGAGAUUCUACAUAUGAGGUUAUGGAGUUAGUUUCUUUGAAAUCAUGGGCUAGUAUUAAUAGGAAGUUAAAUGGAAAUCUUCAUUUGGUGUUGAUGAGUAGUGCCCUCAUUUUGUCUGAUUUUGAGAAUGCUAAUAAUGUCGAAAGGGUGUGGCAUUUGGGUUUAUGCUUUUUUGAAGGAAGAGAUUGU
rnacentral:lncRNA from 1 species